rnacentral:rRNA from 1 species
GAUGAACGCUAGCGGCAGGCUUAACACAUGCAAGUCGAGGGGCAGCGGGAUGUAGCAAUACAUUGCCGGCGACCGGCGCAAGGGUGCGUAACGCGUGAGCAACAUGCCCGUCACAGGAGGAUAAACCAUGGAAACGUGGCCUAAUACUCCAUAGUAUGUUUUGGAGGCAUCUCUAGGACAUUAAAGCUUCGGUGGUGACGGAUUGGCUCGCGUGACAUUAGCUAGAUGGAGAGGUAACGGCUCACCAUGGCGACGAUGUCUAGGGGAACUGAGAGGUUAAUCCCCCACACUGGUACUGAGACACGGACCAG